CCUACGGGUGGCAGCAGGGAGGAAGAGUGGACAAUGGCCGGAAGGCGGAACCAGCGAAGUCGCGGGAAGGAAGAAGGAGCUAGGGGCUGUAAACGUCGGUUAUAGGGGAAAAAAGGUAGCCACGUGUGGAGUUUUGCAUGUACCCUAUGAAUAAGCAUCGGCUAACUCCGUGCCAGCAGCCGCGGUAAUACGGAGGAUGCGAGCGUUCUGCGGAUUUAUUGGGUUUAAAGGGUGCGUAGGUUGUUUUUUAAGUCAGCGGUGAACGUUUGUGGCUCAACCCUAAAAUUGCCGUUGAAACUGCGAGACUUGAGUGUGUUUGAGGUAGGCGGAAUGCGUGGUGUAGCGGUGACAUGCAUAGCUAUCACGCAGAACUCCGAUUGCGAAGGCAGCUUACUAAGCCAUAACUGACACUGAGGCCCGAAAGCGUGGGGAUCAAACAGGAUUAGAUACCCCAGUAGUC
rnacentral:rRNA from 1 species